CACGUAGGGCGCAAGCGUUGUCCGGAAUUAUUGGGCGUAAAGAGCUCGUAGGCGGUCUGCCACGUCCGCUGUGAAAACCUAGGGCUUAACCCUGGGCUUGCAGUAGAUACGGGCAGACUAGAGGUAGGUAGGGGAGAAUGGAAUUCCCGGUGUAGCGGUGAAAUGCGCAGAUAUCGGGAGGAACACCGGUGGCGAAGGCGGGUUGCUGGGCUGAUACUGACGCUGAGGCGCGAAAGCGUGGGGAGCAAACAGG
rnacentral:rRNA from 1 species